AUUCCAGCUCCAAUAGCGUAUAUUAAAGUUGUUGCAGUUAAAAAGCUCGUAGUCGGAUUUUGGCAUCACGCCGAACUGUCUGCCGAUUGGUAAGUACGGUUUGGCGGGUGCUUCCUUCCGGAGGCUCGUUCCCUUCUUCAUUGAAGGGUUCGUUGGUUCCGGGUCUUUUACUUUGAGAAAAUUAGAGUGUUCAAAGCAGGCUUAUGCUCUGAAUAGGUUAGCAUGGAAUAAUAGAAUAGGACUUUGGUUCUAUUUUGUUGGUUUCUAGGACCGAAGUAAUGAUUAAUAGGGACAGUUGGGGGCAUUCAUAUUCCAUUGUCAGAGGUGAAAUUCUUGGAUUAACGGAAGAUGAACUUCUGCGAAAGCAUCUGCCAAGGAUGUUUUCAUUG
rnacentral:rRNA from 1 species